rnacentral:rRNA from 1 species
CGCUGGCGGCAUGCCUAACACAUGCAAGUCGAACGAGACCUUCGGGUCUAGUGGCGCACGGGUGCGUAACGCUGGGAACCUGCCUUUAGGUUCGGAAUAACUCAGAGAAAUUUGAGCUAAUACCGGAUAAUGUCUUCGGACCAAAGAUUUAUCGCCUUUAGAUGGGCCCGCGUUGGAUUAGCUAGUUGGUGGGUAAAGGCCUACCAAGGCGACGAUCCAUAGCUGGUCUGAGAGGAUGAUCAGCCACACUGGGACUGAGACACGGCCCAGACUCCUACGGGAGGCAGCAGUGGGGAAUAUUGGACAAUGGGCGAAAGCCUGAUCCAGCAAUGCCGCGUGAGUGAUGAAGGCCUUAGGGUUGUAAAGCUCUUUUACCCGAGAUGAUAAUGACAGUAUCGGGAGAAUAAGCUCCGGCUAACUCCGUG